rnacentral:rRNA from 1 species
AAAUUGAAGAGUUUGAUCAUGGCUCAGAUUGAACGCUGGCGGCAGGCCUAACACAUGCAAGUCGAGCGGAAACGAGUUAUCAGAACCUUCGGGGGACGAUAACGGCGUCGAGCGGCGGACGGGUGAGUAAUGCCUAGGAAAUUGCCCUGAUGUGGGGGAUAACCAUUGGAAACGAUGGCUAAUACCGCAUGAUGCCUACGGGCCAAAGAGGGGGACCUUCGGGCCUCUCGCGUCAGGAUAUGCCUAGGUGGGAUUAGCUAGUUGGUGAGGUAAGGGCUCACCAAGGCGACGAUCCCUAGCUGGUCUGAGAGGAUGAUCAGCCACACUGGAACUGAGACACGGUCCAGACUCCUACGGGAGGCAGCAGUGGGGAAUAUUGCACAAUGGGCGCAAGCCUGAUGCAGCCAUGCCGCGUGUGUGAAGAAGGCCUUCGGGUUGUAAAGCACUUUCAGUCGUGAGGAAGGUAGUGUAGUUAAUAGCUGCAUUAUUUGACGUUAGCGACAGAAGAAGCACCGGCUAACUCCGUGCCAGCAGCCGCGGUAAUACGGAGGGUGCGAGCGUUAAUCGGAAUUACUGGGCGUAAAGCGCAUGCAGGUGGUUUGUUAAGUCAGAUGUGAAAGCCCGGGGCUCAACCUCGGAAUUGCAUUUGAAACUGGCAGACUAGAGUACUGUAGAGGGGGGUAGAAUUUCAGGUGUAGCGGUGAAAUGCGUAGAGAUCUGAAGGAAUACCGGUGGCGAAGGCGGCCCCCUGGACAGAUACUGACACUCAGAUGCGAAAGCGUGGGGAGCAAACAGGAUUAGAUACCCUGGUAGUCCACGCCGUAAACGAUGUCUACUUGGAGGUUGUGGCCUUGAGCCGUGGCUUUCGGAGCUAACGCGUUAAGUAGACCGCCUGGGGAGUACGGUCGCAAGAUUAAAACUCAAAUGAAUUGACGGGGGCCCGCACAAGCGGUGGAGCAUGUGGUUUAAUUCGAUGCAACGCGAAGAACCUUACCUACUCUUGACAUCCAGAGAACUUUCCAGAGAUGGAUUGGUGCCUUCGGGAACUCUGAGACAGGUGCUGCAUGGCUGUCGUCAGCUCGUGUUGUGAAAUGUUGGGUUAAGUCCCGCAACGAGCGCAACCCUUAUCCUUGUUUGCCAGCGAGUAAUGUCGGGAACUCCAGGGAGACUGCCGGUGAUAAACCGGAGGAAGGUGGGGACGACGUCAAGUCAUCAUGGCCCUUACGAGUAGGGCUACACACGUGCUACAAUGGCGCAUACAGAGGGCGGCCAACUUGCGAAAGUGAGCGAAUCCCAAAAAGUGCGUCGUAGUCCGGAUUGGAGUCUGCAACUCGACUCCAUGAAGUCGGAAUCGCUAGUAAUCGUGGAUCAGAAUGCCACGGUGAAUACGUUCCCGGGCCUUGUACACACCGCCCGUCACACCAUGGGAGUGGGCUGCAAAAGAAGUAGGUAGUUUAACCUUCGGGGGGGCGCUUACCACUUUGUGGUUCAUGACUGGGUGAAGUCGUAACAAGGUAGCGCUAGGGGAACCUGGCGCUGGAUCACCUCCUUAAACGAUGAU